rnacentral:rRNA from 1 species
CCUACGGGGGGCAGCAGUGGGGAAUAUUGCACAAUGGGCGCAAGCCUGAUGCAGCCAUGCCGCGUGUGUGAAGAAGGCCUUCGGGUUGUAAAGCACUUUCAGCGGGGAGGAAGGCGUUAAGGUUAAUAACCUUGGCGAUUGACGUUACCCGCAGAAGAAGCACCGGCUAACUCCGUGCCAGCAGCCGCGGUAAUACGGAGGGUGUAAGCGUUAAUCGGAAUUACUGGGCGUAAAGCGCACGCAGGCGGUCUGUCAAGUCGGAUGUGAAAUCCCCGGGCUCAACCUGGGAACUGCAUUCGAAACUGGCAGGCUAGAGUCUUGUAGAGGGGGGUAGAAUUCCAGGUGUAGCGGUGAAAUGCGUAGAGAUCUGGAGGAAUACCGGUGGCGGAGGCGGCCCCCUGGACAAAGACUGACGCUCAGGUGCGAAAGCGUGGGGAGCAAACAGGAUUAGAUACCCGGGUAGUC